rnacentral:rRNA from 1 species
CAUGGCUCAGGUUGAACGCUAGCGAUAGGCUUAACACAUGAAAGUCGAGGGGCAGCAUGGUCUUAGCUUGCUAAGACUGAUGGCGACCGGCGCACGGGUGCGUAACGCGUAUGUAACUUGUAUCACAGAGGGGGAUAACCCGUCGAAAGACGGACUAAUACCGCGUACACUUGGGAUAGGGCAUCCUACUCCAAGGAAAUGAAAUUCGCUGUGAGAUAGGCAUGCGUUCCAUUAGCUAGUUGGUGAGGUAACGGCUCACCAAGGCGACGAUGGGUAGGGGAACUGAGAGGAUGAACCGCCACACUGGUACUGAGACACGGACCAGACUCCUACGG